GACAGUCGCCGCUUCGUCGUCGUCCUUUCGGGGAGACGGGCGGAGGGGAGGAAAGUCCGGGCUCCAUAGGGCAGGGUGCCAGGUAACGCCUGGGAGGCGCGAGCCUACGACCAGUGCAACAGAGAGCAAACCGCCGAUGGCCCGCGCAAGCGGGAUCAGGUAAGGGUGAAAGGGUGCGGUAAGAGCGCACCGCGCGACUGGCAACAGCUCGCGGCACGGUAAACUCCACCCGGAGCAAGGCCAAAUAGGGGUUCACAAGGUACGGCCCGUAUCGAACCCGGGUAGGCUGCUUGAGCCAGUGAGCGAUUGCUGGCCUAGAUGAAUGACUGUCCACGACAGAACCCGGCUUAGCGGCCGACUCCA
rnacentral:RNase_P_RNA from 1 species